AACGAACGCUGGCGGCAGGCUUAACACAUGCAAGUCGAACGCAUCCUUCGGGGUGAGUGGCAGACGGGUGAGUAACGCGUGGGAACGUGCCCUUCAGUUCGGGAUAACCCAGGGAAACUUGGGCUAAUACCGGAUACGUGCGAGAGCAGAAAGAUUUAUCGCUGAAGGAUCGGCCCGCGUCUGAUUAGCUGGUUGGUGAGGUAAUGGCUCACCAAGGCGACGAUCAGUAGCUGGUCUGAGAGGAUGAUCAGCCACAUUGGGACUGAGACACGGCCCAAACUCCUACGGGAGGCAGCAGUGGGGAAUAUUGGACAAUGGGCGCAAGCCUGAUCCAGCCAUGCCGCGUGAGUGAUGAAGGCCUUAGGGUUGUAAAGCUCUUUCGUCCGGGACGAUAAUGACGGUACCGGAAGAAGAAGCCCCGGCUAACUUCGUGCCAGCCGCCGCCUAAAAC
rnacentral:rRNA from 1 species